GAAAACAUGGUAAAUGAGCCCUAAGAAUUCAAACCCUCCGUCGCGCACUCCAUUACAGGCCUGACAGCUGAGUUCUAAACAGUUAAAUAUGAAACUGUCAACAAGGGCCUGUCUUAAUAACCAAACUUGAGGCCUUUUAUCCUGGAAGAUUUAUGAAGUAAUUUUAAAGAGGCCCAAGCAAACAUCUGUCAAUAAAUUGAAUGCCGGCUACAGGAUUUACAAGCAAGACAAGAAUUUCUCAUUAAGUGCACAUUAGCACUGUGGGGAUCAUAAAUAGUAAGAGGGCAGGAAGCUGAGCCUCUCAAGCUGUCAUUAAAACACUAUCUAAGAACUAAUGAGGAAGUGAUGGAAGGAUACUAAUGAUCCCUCUGGCUCCUUUCGUUCGGCAGUGAAAGAGGAGCAUGCAAUACAGGGUUUCAGUCUGCCACAAUUGGAGACCUACACUACAGCAGUGAGGUUUCCAGAGAGCAUGGCGGCAGUACAUGUUCCAUCUCUGUAAGGCCACAGGCUGAGCCUCAACAUCCUAUGGUGAAUCAGAAAAUAGAUGUGAAGGAGCUCUUUCCUCGGAAUUACUUGAGAUGGAUGGUAACCAUUAAUGAUGUGCAAAGCCAGUGGAAUUCAUAGGUUUGUGAACCUCUCACCUUUGGGAAUGCAAAGAGGAGACCACACACUGAAGAAGAAGAGCUCAGCUCAGAACUACUGGGAGGACAGGGUAUUUGUUGAAGAGGACCUCAACAGGAAUUGACAGAAAUGUGUUCAAUUUCUCUACUGCCUGGCAAAGUAAAGAUUGUUUAACUUUUGUGCAACACGCUGAAUGUGCCGUCUUUCUUGCAACCAUUUAUGGUAAAAUAUUUGCUGCUUUUGCUUUUAUUACUUAACUGAGAGACAGCCAGCAAGGUUGACAUUGUGGCCCGUGAGCUGCAUUGUCAAUAUUAUGCGGUUCCAGGAUGUUCCUUGAAAAGAUUAGUAUAUCUAGGUACAUAUAUGACCCUCAUCACCUAUUGGAGGAAGCUUGCUAUAUAGAUUUACAAACUCAGGUUCAUUUGCAGGCAUUAUUAUCAUUGCUCAUUUGAAGCUCUUCUAGGUUCUCUUCUGCCAAAGGUGUGGAGGGGAAAAGGUGCCCAGACUCCAGAACUACAGACUUAGAGCUUUGCAACUUUUCUAUCCUUCUGAAUAUUUUCAAAAAUUCUGGGAGUGAAUUGCAUUGGAAACCACUGCAGUCAUUCAAGAGUCCCGUCCUGCAGAAUUUUACAGGGACAGGCUGAAAUAAUUCAACCACAUUUUUUUAAAAAAUUGCAAAAUUAACACAAUGCCAAGGCACUUGGCCACAAGCAUAAUGGGCUAAAACACUGCACGGCUUGGACUGAGCAAUGAAACAGAAUGCAACAGAAAAAAAGGAAAGGCCAAGUCCCUAAUAAGUUGAAACUGAACACAAACACCUUGCUCCGUUCAUGGGACAAAGACCUGAAGUUAGAAACGGGUCUCCACUGGCCCAACACUGUGACAAACUCAAGUUCUCUCUGACCAGAACAAGGAAGCAAAUUCCAGAGUGAAGGCCUCUCUCUGCUGAGGAAUCCCUGACUCUAUCACGUAGACGUGUAAAAUCUGUGGACUGCUAAAAUAAGCACCACAGCUGACCUCAGCUUUCAAAACCACAGCCAAGAAAAGAUUCAGUGUCUCAGAUAUGGGUAUCUAAGGAUGCAUCACAAAUGCAGGUAGAUGUAGGUCAACCGAAAGUCAGACACCUGGACUCAAGCUACAGAGGGGGUUAAUGUUCAAUUCCAACAGCUAAAAGUACAAAGGGAACAAGUGCAGUCAGCUAAGCGCUAGUGUAAAACACUCCUUAUAGCCAACGUACCUAUGCAGUCAGGCAGCCAUGUCCACAAAGAGCAUAAGCUUCAGAGUAAUUUCCAACAGCAGUGCCAUGCAGACUGCAUCGCAGCAAUGCAGUUCACACAUCACAAACUGGGGGAUAGCUAUU